rnacentral:rRNA from 1 species
AUAUCAAUAAGCGGAGGAAAAGAAACUAACAAGGAUUCCCCUAGUAACUGCGAGUGAAGCGGGAAAAGCUCAAAUUUAAAAUCUGGUGGUCUUUGGCCAUCCGAGUUGUAAUUUAGAGAAGCGUCUUCCGCGCUGGACCGUGCGUAAGUCUCCUGGAAUGGAGCGUCAUAGAGGGUGAGAAUCCCGUCUUUGGCACGGACCCCAGGGCUUCUGUGAUGCGCUCCUACAAAGAGUCGAUGUUUGGUUAGGAAU